rnacentral:rRNA from 1 species
UACGUAGGGCGCAAGCGUUGUCCGGAAUUAUUGGGCGUAAAGAGCUCGUAGGCGGCCUGUUGCGUCCGCUGUGAAAUCCCGGGGCUUAACCCCGGGCGUGCAGUGGAUACGGGCAGGCUGGAGGCAGGCAGGGGAGAACGGAAUUCCCGGUGUAGCGGUGAAAUGCGCAGAUAUCGGGAGGAACACCGGUGGCGAAGGCGAUUCUCUGGGCCUGUACUGACGCUGAGGAGCGAAAGCGUGGGGAGCGAACAGG